rnacentral:rRNA from 1 species
UAUCCUGGUACUCAUGCUAAGCUGGAACCACACCAAUCCAUCCCGAACUUGGUGGUGAAAAAGCUUAGGGGAUCGAAAAACUCCAAGCAAAGCUUGUCGGAAAAUCGAUCCUAGCGCCAGGGUA